ACAAGGUUCCAGGCCCUACGGGGUGCAGCAGGCGCGAAACCUCCGCAAUGUGAGAAAUCGCGACGGGAGGAUCCCAAGUGCCAUUCUUAACGGGAUGGCUUUUCAUUAGUGUAAAGAGCUUUUGGAAUAAGAGCUGGGCAAGACCGGUGCCAGCCGCCGCGGUAACACCGGCAGCUCUAGUGGUAACAAUUUUUAUUGGGCCUAAAGUGUCCGUAGCCGGUUUAAUAAGUCUCUGGUGAAAUCCUGUAGCUUAACUGUGGGAAUUGCUGGAGAUACUAUUAGACUUGAGACCGGGAGAGGUUAGAGGUACUCCCAGGGUAGAGGUGAAAUUCUGUAAUCCUGGGAGGACCGCCUGUUGCGAAGGCGUCUAACUGGAACGGUUCUGACGGUGAGGGACGAAAGUUAGGGGCGCGAACCGGAUUAGAUACCCGGGUAGUCCUAACUGUAAACGAUGCGGACUUGGUGUUGGGGUGGCUUUGAGCUGCUCCAGUGCCGAAGGGAAGCUGUUAAGUCCGCCGCCUGGGAAGUACGGUCGCAAGACUGAAACUUAA
rnacentral:rRNA from 1 species